UGAACCACUGAGUUUGGAGUUCUUUACCA
rnacentral:piRNA from 1 species